rnacentral:rRNA from 1 species
UGGGGAAUUUUGGACAAUGGACGCAAGUCUGAUCCAGCCAUGCCGCGUGCGGGAAGAAGGCCUUCGGGUUGUAAACCGCUUUUGUCAGGGAAGAAACGAGUUUCUCUAAUACAGAGACUUAAUGACGGUACCUGAAGAAUAAGCACCGGCUAACUACGUGCCAGCAGCCGCGGUAAUACGUAGGGGGCAAGCGUUAAUCGGAAUUACUGGGCGUAAAGCGUGCGCAGGCGGUUAUGCAAGACAGAUGUGAAAUCCCCGGGCUCAACCUGGGACCUGCAUUUGUGACUGUAUAGCUAGAGUACGGUAGAGGGGGGUGGAAUUCCGCGUGUAGCAGUGAAAUGCGUAGAUAUGCGGAGGAACACCGAUGGCGAAGGCAAUCCCCUGGACCUGUACUGACGCUCAUGCACGAAAGCGUGGGGAGCAAACA